rnacentral:rRNA from 1 species
GACGGGGGGGCAAGUGUUCUUCGGAAUGACUGGGCGUAAAGGGCACGUAGGCGGUGAAUCGGGUUGAAAGUGAAAGUCGCCAAAAAGUGGCGGAAUGCUCUCGAAACCAAUUCACUUGAGUGAGACAGAGGAGAGUGGAAUUUCGUGUGUAGGGUGAAUCCGUAAAUAUACGAAGGAACGCCAAAAGCGAAGGCAGCUCUCUGGUCCCUACCGACGCUGGGUGCGAAAGCAUGGGGAGCGAACAGG